AGAAAUGCGGUGACGGCAGCACGGUAAAUGCUGAGGCGUCGAGAGGUGAUCGGAAGUUGUGGGCUUAAAGUGCGAGCAGGAGGGUUCGUAAGACAGAUGUGUAAUCCAACGGCUCAAACGUGGAAGGUCACCGGAAACUGGGAGACUAGAGGGUAGAAGAGGAAAGCGGAAUGUCGCGUGUAGCGGUGAAAUGCGUAGAGUUGUGGAGGAACACCAGUGGCGAAGGCGGCUGUCUGGACUGUAACUGACGCUGAGGCGCGAAAGCGUGGGGAGCAAACAGGAUUAGAUACCCUUGUAGUC
rnacentral:rRNA from 1 species